rnacentral:rRNA from 1 species
AGCGAACGCUGGCGGCAGGCUUAACACAUGCAAGUCGAGCGGGCACUUCGGUGUCAGCGGCAGACGGGUGAGUAACACGUGGGAACGUACCCUUUGGUUCGGAAUAACGCUGGGAAACUAGCGCUAAUACCGGAUACGCCCUUUUGGGGAAAGGCUUGCUGCCGAAGGAUCGGCCCGCGUCUGAUUAGCUAGUUGGUGGGGUAAUGGCCUACCAAGGCGACGAUCAGUAGCUGGUCUGAGAGGAUGAUCAGCCACACUGGGACUGAGACACGGCCCAGACUCCUACGGGAGGCAGCAGUGAGGAAUAUUGGACAAUGGGCGCAAGCCUGAUCCAGCCAUGCCGCGUGAGUGAUGAAGGCCUUAGGGUUGUAAAGCUCUUUUGUCCGGGACGAUAAUGACGGUACCGGAAGAAUAAGCCCCGGCUAACUUCGUG